rnacentral:rRNA from 1 species
UACGGGGGGGGCAAGCGUUGUUCGGAAUUACUGGGCGUAAAGGGCUCGUAGGCGGCCAACUAAGUCAUACGUGAAAUCCCUCGGCUUAACCGGGGAACUGCGUCUGAUACUGGGUGGCUUGAGUUCGGGAGAGGGAUGCGGAAUUCCAGGUGUAGCGGUGAAAUGCGUAGAUAUCUGGAGGAACACCGGUGGCGAAGGCGGCAUCCUGGACCGAUACUGACGCUGAGGAGCGAAAGCCAGGGGAGCAAACGGG